AGAGUUUGAUCCUGGCUCAGAUUGAACGCUGGCGGCAGGCCUAACACAUGCAAGUCGAGCGGUAGAGAGAAGCUUGCUUCUCUUGAGAGCGGCGGACGGGUGAGUAAUGCCUAGGAAUCUGCCUGGUAGUGGGGGAUAACGUUCGGAAACGGACGCUAAUACCGCAUACGUCCUACGGGAGAAAGCAGGGGACCUUCGGGCCUUGCGCUAUCAGAUGAGCCUAGGUCGGAUUAGCUAGUUGGUGGGGUAAUGGCUCACCAAGGCGACGAUCCGUAACUGGUCUGAGAGGAUGAUCAGUCACACUGGAACUGAGACACGGUCCAGACUCCUACGGGAGGCAGCAGUGGGGAAUAUUGGACAAUGGGCGAAAGCCUGAUCCAGCCAUGCCGCGUGUGUGAAGAAGGUCUUCGGAUUGUAAAGCACUUUAAGUUGGGAGGAAGGGUUGUAGAUUAAUACUCUGCAAUUUUGACGUUACCGACAGAAUAAGCACCGGCUAACUCUGUGCCAGCAGCCGCGGUAAUACAGAGGGUGCAAGCGUUAAUCGGAAUUACUGGGCGUAAAGCGCGCGUAGGUGGUUAGUUAAGUUGGAUGUGAAAUCCCCGGGCUCAACCUGGGAACUGCAUUCAAAACUGACUGACUAGAGUAUGGUAGAGGGUGGUGGAAUUUCCUGUGUAGCGGUGAAAUGCGUAGAUAUAGGAAGGAACACCAGUGGCGAAGGCGACCACCUGGACUGAUACUGACACUGAGGUGCGAAAGCGUGGGGAGCAAACAGGAUUAGAUACCCUGGUAGGUCCACGU
rnacentral:rRNA from 1 species